UUCAGAAAAUGUGAAACCCGUCGUGAGGCGGGGACGGAAAGCUACGGGUCUUUGUUGAAUAAAGAUCGCCGGGUUGCCUGA
rnacentral:ncRNA from 1 species